rnacentral:tRNA from 1 species
GGAGAGGUGGCUGAGUGGUUGAAAGCGGCAGUCUUGAAAACUGCUGUGGGGGUAACUCCACCGUGAGUUCAAAUCUCACCCUCUCCG